GCCCGGCGGGGUGCAGGCCUCUCAAACGCUGUUUGCUGUUUCUGACACUGGCCAUUAAUUCUCCUCUGUCGCCGCGUUUAACCCUUCCCCGCCGGCCCCCGCACAGGCUCGGUGGGGUCCCGGCGUGAGGGGGAAGGAUGCCUUCCCACCAGUCAGGCCUGCUUUGACACUGCUGCUCCUACACCGGAUUCUAGCUUUUUCCUCAGUCAAGAGAAAAUUGAUUCUCGGCAUUUCUCAAGGCAGGAGGGGCUAUUGUGAAAAUUAAAUUUGAGGUGUUUAUUCUGACACCCAAUAUGGCCCAAGUCGGUGAGCCUGAUGUCUUCAAGCUGCGUUAUCUGUCCCCAGGCUGAAUUGUCUCACCUUUUCUAAGCGUAACUGAUGUCCCCAGAUAACUUCUACAAAAGAAACUGAUGUAAUUUUCUCACCUUUUGUAAACAUAGCUAAUGUCAUCAGAUAACUUCUACAAUAGAAGUUGCAUAAUAAAUGAAAGAACUUUGUGUGACACAAGUAUAUCUGCAUUAGCUUAAAAAAAUAUAGCAUCUCAGAAUCACAAGGAUUCACCUAAAACUCAUCAAGAACUAAGUAUAGCAUCAUGAAGAAUUCUUGCACUACUCUUGUCAUCCUCAAGUGAGUGGGAAUUACUUAUCAAAGUCACUGAAAAAGCUUCUAGGAAACUGUGUGUGGAUAGACAGAAUGAGGUUUCAGGACAAAUGUGUGGUUACAGCAAGUUCUAGAAGAGAUGUGUCUGCAUAAGAAAAGAUGGGGACACAGAAACACGUAUGCCUGUAUGCCUGGAAGGUCUGGAACUAAUGUGGAGAGGACACCUGGCAUAGCAGGAGCUGAGAUAAAGAAGAGCCCCAGAAACUGUAAAAGAGACAGAGAAGCGGUGUGGAAAAGCACAGCUAGAAGUUGGGUGGUAAUACAAGCUACAGACAGCUGUUUGAAAGUGUGACCUGAUAAACAACUUUAACAAAGGGUGCUGAAAUGGAAAUGAAACUUGUUUAUGAUGACAUUAGUGGCUGGAAAAAAUCUAGUGCAGCAAACACAGAAGUUCCCAGAGUAAUUUUGAGGAAAUGAAUUAAUUGAAUAGAUCUUGAAAGAAGGAUAUUCUUGGCCAACACAGACUAUUUGGAAGUGGUAGAAUGUUGCAAUGCCAUGGGCCCUCGAUCACUCAGGACAGCUUGUUGAAAUCACCCCACAACAAAGUCAGCUUGUAUUUCAGAAAAUGGUGGUAGGACACCAUGCAGAAUAGUUGAAUUCCAGUGGAAGAGAGAUGUAUUCAUAGCAGAGGUUGUAGUGGUAAUGCAAGUGAACAGUGUAGUUGCACGUAAACUGUGUAAGGAGUAUACAAAAUACAACAUUUGAUGCUGGUUUCCUCCUAUGGAAAAAUGAGUGUUUAAUCUGUUUAUUGAAGCUUGAAAAAGAUUUGUGGACCAAAUGUUUUAAGGUUAAGAAGUAGGCUGGAGGCUGUCUAUUAAUCAAUGAAUAAACGAUCAACAUAGAGCACUGAAUAAAGACAGCAAGAAGAUACUUCCUUAACAAUUGAUAUAAAAAAGAUGUACCUUACAAAAUUUCCAUGUUCAAAGCACAACAGAUUCUAGUUGAUCAGAUGAUGCAUAUAAGCUACUAGUAGUUCUGUGUGCUGCUUGAUUAUCUCACUUCAGAUAAUGAAGAAGACUGAUUGAAUUCUAAAAAACUAACAGGGAAAAAUUAUAUAUCCAGACAUUGUCAGAAGUAACUCCAUGAUGGAAGAGCAGAGGAGAAGCAAUACUAUAGCAGUACCACCAGAAACCUUAAUGAGGAAAGAUUGCUGCUUUUCCAUAAUCCAUUCAAAUAUACCUCUGCAAAAUAGAGAAUGUUGGCAAAGAAUCACCUCCACACAUAAUCCCUUUUAGUCCUAAAUUUUAUUCAUUCACACUCCCGGAUGAGUAACAUGUUGCUAAUGUCUUUUUCAACUUUGCAAAUAAAGAAACCAAACUCCACAACCCCUAAAGUUCUAAAACCAAACCCCAGAAAGUCAACCAGAAAGGAACACAGCAUAUAAAUAUUAAAAGCAGUAUUUGGGGAAAAAAAUCCCCAAACGCAAAAAAAUAGAUGGAAAUUUGUACAUUAACCCCUGAUAUAGGAAAUUAUGUGAAUUUGGAUUUGUUAUAGUAAAUUUCUUACUCUAUGUUUCUUCUUCCCACCAAAGAGCAGUGAGUUAUAAACCCUGCUGUUCCUGAACCCUUCAACUGUAUGAGACGACUAGGUAAAGUGGCUUUUGUAGCCUUCCAUAAGGAUUCUAGUGUUCUGUGAUCUUUAAAAAAGCACAGAGUGGGUACAAUGAAGAGAGUUAAAUGAAAAGAAAAAGCAUUAACAAUGGACUUCAUCUUAGUAUUUAAUUAGCUAGAGGCCAUGUAGGAAUAGACUAAAUAUCAGCAAAGGGUCCUUGAUUACAAUCUCAGAACAGAUGGGCAUUUUUAUCUUGAAAGGAUGACCAGCUUAUCUGUAGUUUUGCAGCUAUCAUGGCUGAUCUAUAUCUGCUUUAUCCAGGCUAAUCAAGUACAGAAAGUUUAUUAAGAUAAUAACACUGAAAGUUAUCACCAGUUAUGCUCUCUAAUCUUGAUAGAGUUUUGCUGUGUACUGUGUUUCAAGAGGUCUGUCAGCCAACAAAGGCUAAAGUUUGAGGGGUAUCAUUUACAGUCUACAGUGAUGUUUUUGCUGAAAAACAAGCAACUUAAAACCCAGUUUAAAUUAAUGACAGAAGGUUAUUGUGAUGACAACUCCAACAGGUUAAACACAGGCUCUGAAAACAGGGUAAAAGGUAGAAAUCUUCCCCCAGGACAAGUAGGCUGAUGUGUCUCCCACUGACUCCAGUUUCCUGGCACUGCCCACUAAACUGCCUUCUACAAACAUGGGAGAAGGGAUUCAGCUGGUAAAAAUCAGUGUAGCCACAGUAUUGGAAUCUAUGCCAGCUGAUGUAAUGAUACACAUAGCCAGUGGAUGUAAGCCUGGGAGAGCUGACUGUGGGGUAUGUAAAAUUAGCAUUUGCUUUUUUAAUGCAUGUACAUUCUAAAUAUUGUCAAAAUAGUCCUUCUGGGUUUUAUUUUUAAGAAACCUAAUUUUAAGAUUAAAAAAUAUUCAAUGUGAUGUUUUAAAUUUGGAUUUAUUUUAAAGCCGAAGAAUGAGAUGAGAGAUUCCCUCCAUCAUAUUAGCUGUCUGCAUUUUAGGAUAAUCAUGAAGAAUCAGUUGAUUUUUGUGAAGUCUUGUAUCUAUAUAAUACUGAGCCAAUGAUCUUGCUACUUCAUGAUACUUCAUGUGGAGAGAAGACUGUUCACAACAAGGAGAGGGACAGAGUUUUAAUAGUCUGAAAAAAAAAUUGUUUUUAAUAUUUUAUUCCCUGCCCCCCUCAAAAAAAAAAAAUCAGAGUACUGAACCCCAUUUUGCCUGAAGUCUGUUUGACCAUCCACACAUGUAGAACAAAGCACAGUCUAUACUGGUUGUAGUGCUGGGCCUUGACAAUUCAGAAAUUCUCAAGGAGAGUUGCUAUGGGGCUUUUGACUGAAAGAUCAAUGCUUAAAUAAAAUCUGUGUGCUGAUUACACAUCUCCACAUUCAAUCAAUGAGUCACUGAAAUUCCAGUACAAGCUAAAUAUUGAUGGCCAGGAAACAAAUGUGUACAAUAGCACUUGACUGCUUUUUUCUCUUCCUCUUUCUAAUUUCACCCAUUUAAUAAAUAUGAGGUUGUUACUGCCAGUUAUACUACACGUAGCCAGUCAUUGUGCUGUAAAGCGCUACCGUUUGCUGUUAUUGAUCUUACCUAUCUUUUUAAUUAUUGAAGUGACCUGAGGCUUGGUUUGGUCAGUUUUGCAGGUCAUUCUUCCACCAUAAUGAUGUGAAAAGUUAUUGUCAGGGUGAGGGAAUCAGAGUGCCCAUAGUUUAGUGCUCUUUUACAUGCCAAUUAUUCCCC